GGGGAGUGGCUGGGGGAACUGGGAUUGUUCAGUCAUAAAAGAGGAAGCUGAUUGGAGACCUUACCACUCUCUACAACUCCCUUAAGGAGGACUAUUCUCCCAGGCUGAUGGGCUCAAAGGAACUGACAGCAGCCGCUCAACUUCACCCUGGGCACAAAUCCAGUGAGGGGAAAGAGGAAAAGAAAAGGCUCCUUGCUGUCGUUUGUCAGCAAUAAUGGAUAUUUGGGGCGCUUUGGUACAGCAGGACACUCAGAGGUGCUUGAGAUCAUCAGAAGUUAAGCAAACAUGCAAAUUCUUGCAA